GAUGAAUGCUGGCGGCGUGCCUAACACAUGCAAGUCGAGCGGCAGCGCGAGUAGUUUACUACUUGGCGGCGAGCGGCGGACGGCUGAGUAACGCGUGGGAACGUGCCCCAAAGUGAGGGAUAACGCACCGAAAGGUGUGCUAAUACCGCAUAUGAUCUUCGGAUUAAAGAAUUUAUUCGCUUUGGGAGCGGCCCGCGUCGGAUUAGGUAGUUGGUAGGGUAAUGGCCUACCAAGCCGACGAUCCGUAGCUGGUCUGAGAGGAUGACCAGCCAGACUGGAACUGAGACACGGUCCAGACUCCUACGGGAGGCAGCAGUGAGGAAUCUUCCACAAUGGGCGAAAGCCUGAUGGAGCAACGCCGCGUGCAGGAUGAAGGCCUUCGGGUUGUAAACUGCUUUUAUAAGUGAAGAAUAUGACGGUAACUUAUGAAUAAGCACCGGCUAACUACGUGCCAGCCGCCGCAGUAA
rnacentral:rRNA from 1 species